UAAUCUAAUACCGGUUCCCACACACGUCACUUCACUCUCUCUCACACACGGCGGCGCAAUGUCAUCAAACACCGUGGUCGUACUAGACAACGGCGCCGGACUAAUCAAAGCCGGCAUCGCCGGCGAACGCGACCCAACAUCCAUCGUCCCAAACUGCACAGCCCGUCCUCUCUCUUCAAAAAAACCCCUAAUCGCCGACCAACUCUUAUCUCCCACCGUCGACUUAACCUCCGCCGUAAUCCGCCGUCCAUUCGACCGCGGCUACUUAAUCAACCCCGAUCUCCAAUCGUCAAUCUGGUCCCACAUUUUCAACACCCUCAGAAUCACCCCGUCCACGUCAUCGCUCUUACUAACCGAACCCUUGUUCAACCUCGCGUCAAUCUCACGCGCCACCGACGAAAUCGUCUUCGAAGAGUUCAAUUUCAAGUCAUUAUUCGUGUCCGACUCGCCUAGUUUAGUUCAUUUAUACGAAGCUAGUAAACGCCCGUACGACGUCGUUUCGAAAACACAAUGUAGCUUGGUUGUUGACUUAGGGUUUAGUUUUUGCCACGCGGCCCCGGUUUUUCAGAACUUUGUUUUGAAUUAUGGUGUGAAAAGAAUGGAUUUGGGUGGGAAGGCGUUGACUAAUUAUUUAAAAGAGCUGGUUAGUUAUCGGUCCGUUAAUGUGAUGGAUGAAACCUUUUUGAUGGAUGAUGUUAAGGAGAAGCUGUGUUUUGUCUCCAACGAUGUCGCUCGUGAUCUGCAGAUUGCUAGCAGACGUGGUAAUGACAACCAUUUUAGGUGCACGUAUGUGCUACCAGAUGGUAUCACACAUACAAAGGGAUUCAUAAAAGAUCCCCUUGAAGCACAAAGAUAUCUUAGUUUAUCAGAGGAUGGUGAAUUGCCACACUCAGAAGGAACUGGUGAAGCUGAUCAAACAGAAGUUAGAAGCAGACCAUCGGAAAGGAAUAAAAUUGAUCUUACAAAAAAUGAAUUCAGUUUGAGCAAUGAGCGGUUUCUUGUCCCUGAGAUGAUCUUCCGUCCAGCUGAUUUGGGAAUGAACCAAGCUGGACUGGCAGAAUGUAUUGUCCGGGCUGUCAAUUCUUGUCAUCCUUAUCUUCAUCCUGUGCUGUAUGAAAGUAUCAUAUUGACAGGUGGAAGCACAUUAUUUCCAGGUUUUGCCAAAAGACUGGAAACUGAGCUGCGCCCUCUAGUUCCAGAUGUGUUCCAAGUGAAAAUAACAACUCAAGAAGACCCCGUAUUAGGCGUCUGGCGAGGGGGAUCACUAUUGGCAUCCAGCCCUGAUUUUGAUGCAAUGUGUGUCACCAAAGCUGAGUAUGAAGAGCAUGGCUCUUCACGUUGUCGUAGGAGAUUCUUUCAUUAGUUCACAUCCCGAAAGGCUAUGCUAUGUGAGAUCCACCACCUCCCAGAAAUUUGAUAAGGAAUUCAUUGAUAAGAAAGCAUCUGGACGUGAUACAUUAAUAUUUGAGAUAAUUAAUAGAGAUGUGAAACAUCAGUUUUAGAUUGAAACCACCAUAGAUGAAUCAAGCACAGAGGAAAUUGCUGACUAAUUGAGUUUGAAACAGUUUAUUGUCUUGGAGAGAGUAAGAUAGCAAAACAGUGGACAAAUUCAAGUGUUUUGAAACAUGAUUAUUUGACAAAAAAAGAAAAAAUGCCACCUUGUAACGUUAAGACUAUCAUGUGGACUUGUAGAUAACAUAUAAACAUUAUGGCAGAAGUUGUUUUACAUCUGAGAUCUCUAGCGCAUAAUGUGAUAUUCUUGUACUUUUUUCUGUGUAA